rnacentral:rRNA from 1 species
GACGAACGCUGGCGGCGUGCUUAACACAUGCAAGUCGAACGGAAAGGCCUGCUUUCCCUUGUGGAUUGCGGGUACUCGAGUGGCGAACGGGUGAGUAACACGUGAGUGAUCUGCCCCCAACUUGGGUAUAAGCCCGGGAAACUGGGUCUAAUUCCCGAUAGGACUGCAGGGUGGUGCCUGUGGUGGAAAACGAUUUUCUAGUGGUUGGGGAUGAGCUCGCGGCCUAUCAGCUUGUUGGUGGGGUAAUGGCCUACCAAGGCGGCGACGGGUAGCCGGCCUGAGAGGGUGGACGGCCACAUUGGGACUGAGAUACGGCCCAGACUCCUACGGGAGGCAGCAGUGGGGAAUAUUGCACAAUGGGCGGAAGCCUGAUGCAGCGACGCCGCGUGGGGGAUGACGGCCUUCGGGUUGUAAACUCCUUUCGACCGCGAGGAAGCCACCUGGUUGGAAGGGUGGUGACGGUAGUGGUAGAAGAAGCACCGGCUAACUACGUG